GACGAACGCUGGUGGCGUGCCUAAUACAUGCAAGUUGAGCGAUGAAGCUUGGUGCUUGCACCAAUUUGAAAAGCAGCGAACGGGUGAGUAACGAGUGGGGAAACUGCCUUUGAGCGGGGGACAACAUUUGGAAACGAAUGCUAAUACCGCAUAACAACUUUAAACAUAAGUUUUAAGUUUGAAAGAUGCAAUUGCAUCACUAAAAGAUGAUUCCGCGUUGUAUUAGCUAGUGGGUGAGGUAAAGGCUCACCAAGGCGAUGAUACAUAGCCGACCUGAGAGGGUGAUCGGCCGCAUUGGGACGGAGACACGGCCCAAACUCCUACGGGAUGGAGCAGUAGUGAAGCGUCGGCAAGGGAAGAAAGUCUGACCGAGCAACGCCGCGUGAGUGAAGAAGGUUGUCGGAUCGUAAAACUCGGUUGGUAGAGAAGAACGUUGGUGAGGGUGGAAAGCUCAUCAAGUGACGGUAACUACACAGAAAGGGACGGCUAACUACGUG
rnacentral:rRNA from 1 species